rnacentral:tRNA from 1 species
GAAGUCUGGGGAUGUUGUUGCUCUUGAUGGCAAGAGCACACUUUUGGGAUCCUCCGUGGCU